GCAAUGCUGCGGUUGGUAGAGCAGCUGACUCUUAAUCAGCGGGCCCAGGGUUCGAGUCCCUGGAAGUGCACCA
rnacentral:tRNA from 1 species